rnacentral:tRNA from 1 species
GCCCGGGUGGCGGAAUCGGCAGACGCACACGACUCAAAAUCGUGCGAGAAAUCGUGGGAGUUCAAGUCUCCCCCUGGGCACCA